rnacentral:tRNA from 1 species
AGUAGGAUGGCUGAGAUAAUAGGCAAAAGAUUGUAAAUCUUUUUAGGAGUUGAAGUAACUCUUCUACUA